rnacentral:rRNA from 1 species
AUUGAACGCUGGCGGCAUGCCUAACACAUGCAAGUCGAACGGAAACGGCAUUAACAAUCCCUUCGGGGUGCGUUUUUGGACGUCGAGUGGCGGACGGGUGAGUAAUACAUAGGAAUCUACCCAGUAGCGGGGGACAACUUGGGGGAAACUCAAGCUAAUACCGCAUACGCCCUACGGGGGAAAGCGGGGGACCUUCGGGCCUCGCACUAUUGGAUGAGCCUAUGUCUGAUUAGCUUGUUGGUGGGGUAAUGGCUUACCAAGGCAACGAUCAGUAGCUGGUCUGAGAGGACGAUCAGCCACACUGGGACUGAGACACGGCCCAGACUCCUACGGGAGGCAGCAGUGGGGAAUAUUGCACAAUGGGCGGAAGCCUGAUGCAGCAAUGCCGCGUGUGUGAAGAAGGCCUGCGGGUUGUAAAGCACUUUCAGUAGGGAGGAAACAGUAACGGGUUAAUACCCCGGUACCUUGACGUUACCUACAGAAGAAGCACCGGCUAACUCUGUG